rnacentral:rRNA from 1 species
UGUCAGCAGCCGCGGUAAUACGGAGGGUGCAAGCGUUGCUCGGAGUUAUUGGGCGUAAAGCGCACGCAGGCGGCGAAAUAAGUCGGAUGUGAAAUCCCCGGGCUCAACCUGGGACGUGCAUUCGAAACUGUUUUGCUCGAGGUCGGAAGAGGGAAGCAGAAUUCCUGGUGUAGAGGUGAAAUUCGUAGAUAUCAGGAGGAACACCGGUGGCGAAAGCGGCUUCCUGGUCCGAUUCUGACGCUCAUGUGCGAAAGCGUGGGGAGCAAACAGGAUUAGAUACCCUGGUAGUCCACGCUGUAAACGAUGAGUGCUGGGCGUUGGAGGCCAUUACCCCUUCAGUGCCGUAGCUAACGCGUUAAGCACUCCGCCUGGGGAGUACGGCCGCAAGGCUAAAACUCAAAGAAAUUGGCGG